AACGAACGCUGGCGGCAGGCCUAACACAUGCAAGUCGAGCGAGAUCUUCGGAUCUAGCGGCGGACGGGUGAGUAACGCGUGGGAAUAUGCCCUUCUCUACGGAAUAGCCUCGGGAAACUGGGAGUAAUACCGUAUACGCCCUUAGGGGGAAAGAUUUAUCGGAGAAGGAUUAGCCCGCGUUGGAUUAGGUAGUUGGUGGGGUAAUGGCCUACCAGGCCUACGAUCCAUAGCUGGUUUGAGAGGAUGAUCAGCCACACUGGGACUGAGACACGGCCCAGACUCCUACGGGAGGCAGCGGUGGGGAAUCUUAGACAAUGGGGGCAACCCUGAUCUAGCCAUGCCGCGUGAGUGAUGAAGGCCUUAGGGCUGUAAAGCUCUUUCAGCUGGGAAGAUAAUGACGGUACCAGCAGAAGAAGCCCCGGCUAACUCCGUGCCAGCCGCCGCCGUAA
rnacentral:rRNA from 1 species